rnacentral:lncRNA from 1 species
UUAUCUGAUCAAUUUGAAAGAUUAGAUCUUGAAUUAGGUUGCUUAGCAAUCUAGUUUAGCCCAUGCUAGUUAGAUCGGUCAUAUCAUAACUGAUUAGAUGAGACCUAAACCUAACCUCUCCACAAAUAUUAAGUCCAUAGGUCUUCCACUGUUGUAGAUGUAUGGACGUGCUACCAGCGUUGAUUGUUCUCAGCUGGUUACAGUGGUUCAAUUGCAUUGAGAAUACGCAACUACUCUAUUAGCAAAGAGUUGCUCCAGGGUAAGGAUGGGGUUGGACCCAAUAACUAUUAAAUAAGGGACCCAAUGACAGUCUUGCACCUACUUGUGAAUG